GUAAACGAUGUCGACUUGGAGGUUGUGCCCUUGAGGCGUGGCUUCCGGAGCUAACGCGUUAAGUCGACCGCCUGGGGAGUACGGCCGCAAGGUUAAAACUCAAAUGAAUUGACGGGGGCCCGCACAAGCGGUGGAGCAUGUGGUUUAAUUCGAUGCAACGCGAAGAACCUUACCUACUCUUGACAUCCACAGAACUUAGCAGAGAUGCUUUGGUGCCUUCGGGAACUCUGAGACAGGUGCUGCAUGGCUGUCGUCAGCUCGUGUUGUGAAAUGUUGGGUUAAGUCCCGCAACGAGCGCAACCCUUAUCCUUUGUUGCCAGCGGUUCGGCCGGGAACUCAAAGGAGACUGCCAGUGAUAAACUGGAGGAAGGUGGGGAUGACGUCAAGUCAUCAUGGCCCUUACGAGUAGGGCUACACACGUGCUACAAUGGCAUAUACAAAGAGAAGCGACCUCGCGAGAGCAAGCGGACCUCAUAAAGUAUGUCGUAGUCCGGAU
rnacentral:rRNA from 1 species